CAGGCCUAACACAUGCAAGUCGAACGAUGCUUUCGGGCAUAGUGGCGCACGGGUGAGUAACACGUGGGAACGUACCCUUCGGUUCGGAAUAACGCUGGGAAACUAGCGCUAAUACCGGAUACGCCCUUUUGGGGAAAGGUUUACUGCCGAAGGAUCGGCCCGCGUCUGAUUAGCUAGUUGGUGGGGUAACGGCCUACCAAGGCGACGAUCAGUAGCUGGUCUGAGAGGAUGAUCAGCCACACUGGGACUGAGACACGGCCCAGACUCCUACGGGAGGCAGCAGUGGGGAAUAUUGGACAAUGGGCGCAAGCCUGAUCCAGCCAUGCCGCGUGAGUGAGAAGGCCUUCAGGUUGUAAGCUCUUUUGUC
rnacentral:rRNA from 1 species